rnacentral:rRNA from 1 species
AGCGAACGCUGGCGGCAGGCUUAACACAUGCAAGUCGAGGGGAGCGGCAGACGGGUGAGUAACGCGUGGGAACGUACCUUUUGGUUCGGAACAACACAGGGAAACUUGUGCUAAUACCGGAUACCGUAAGAUCGGCCCGAGUCUGAUUUGCUAGUUGGUAGCGUAAUGGCCUACCAAGGCGACGAUCAGUAGCUGGUCUGAGAGGAUGAUCAGCCACAUUGGGACUGAGACACGGCCCAAACGACUACGGGAGGCAGCAGUGGGGAAUAUUGGACAAUGGGGGGAAUCCUGAUCCAGCCAUGGCGCUUGAGUGAUGAAGGCCCUAGGGUUGGAAAGCUCUUUUGUGCGGGAAGCGGUACCGCAAGAAUAAGCCCCGGCUAACUUCGUGCCAGCAGCCGCGGUAAUUC